GAUUUCUGGCCUUCGGCGCCUGGCCCGCCUCGAAAGAGUGUGUGUUGUCGGUGUGUCAAGGUCAUCCUUCUGGAGAGCGCCUCUGCCCUUUGCUGGGUCGGGGGUGGGAUCCAGAUCGUUUACUUUGAAAAAAUUAGAGUGUUCAAAGCAGGCUUUACGCUGUGAAUACAUUAGCAUGGAAUAAUAAGAUAGGGCUUUGGUACUAUUUUGUUGGUUUCUAGGACCAAAGUAAUGAUUGAUAGGGACAGUUGGGGGUGCUAGUAUUCAAUGGCCAGAGGUGAAAUUCUUGGAUUCAUUGAAGACUAACUUAUGCGAAAGCAUU
rnacentral:rRNA from 1 species